CGCAAGGACUCUGCCCGGCCGGCCCCUGGUGUACUUCCCCGACACCAGGUUCCGGACGGGCAGGGCCCUGUG
rfam:Corynebacterium sphenisci DSM 44792, complete genome.